rnacentral:lncRNA from 1 species
AUGCCAGCUUACAGGCAACAUUGUAGGAACAAGAGCUCCAUCCUCCACGGUGGCCAUGUCUCUUGGUUUCAAAAAUGGAGAAAUGAAGAAACAAAAGGCAGAUUAGUGCUGACAUUUACUACUAAAGUCAUGGAUAAAGUAAAAAAUAGAAGCUCUUUAAAGUACACAGCCUUCUCGGGACAGCUGUCCUCUUCCCCUAGUCACCUCUCACUAGCACUCUGGCUCCCAGAGAGUCUGGCUUUAGCCCGGCUGCAGCUCCUCAGAACUGUUUGUAACUUACAGCUCUGGUUUGAAUUGCUUCGGAUUUGGCUUUUGCUAGUCAGACCUGGCUUCCCUUCCAUUUGCCCCUCUAAAUCUGGCCCCAUUUUCUUUAUUACAUUUGUUGCGCAUUCCUUUUGCAUUUUUAAUUGGAUUUUCCAAAACAAAACUCCCCACAGUUAAUUCUGUGGUCUGGUAAUGUAUUACAAAUAUUCUCAAAAUUGCAUCAUUAAAAGGGGCCUUUAAAGCUGAAACCUGUGUCGGUUACCAUGGUAAUGACUGACAACUACUUAGAACUGCCUGCUCAACCAAAAGAGGACAAGGCUGCCCCUGGCAGGAGAAGAUUAAAGGCCAACAACUAACGUCUACUGGGCAGGGUGAGCACCUGUAGAUUCCGAUGUGGGUUUCUCAAGUGCAAGUCAGAUACCCUCCUAUGAUGUAAAACAAAGCAAGUUGGUGCCAUGCUCCUGGGUUGUCUAUAAUAUAUAUAUUUUGGGAGACUUGGGGACUGGAAGUCCUGCUCACCGUCAGGUUAUGGAGAGGUAUUUCAAUUCAAGUUUUAUAGUUUAAUACUUAACUGACAUGCUCUUGAAUCAAAUGUUUACCUCUCUGAUCAUCAGGUUCUUUUCAUAUUUAAUAAAAUGAGCAAAGUACUGCCCGUGUUACCUAGAUAUGUGACUAUCAGGGAGACAGUUAAAGCAAAGCCUUUCUGUCAACCAAGUGCUAACACAUGAAGACUGAAGCCCAUGUUUAGAGUUUAUAACUCUUCUCUAGAAUGUCUUGUGGGUUGUCAUCAGUCCAUGUUUUUCUCAAAGAAGAGACAAUUCCUCCAAAAGACAGAAGUGUCAAAAUAACAUUGACUGCUUUCGACACCAGGAUUCCCAUGCUUUUGAUUAUUCACCAGGCCUAGAAACAAGUUAACAGUUGCUAUUAGACAUGGGUUAAAGUGCUACAAAUGUGGUUAUUAAGAAAAAUGUAUUUGAAAAAUAAUGAUUAUCAGAAAUACACAUUAGAUUCCUCAUCCCCUGUUUUCUUGAUGUUCUCAUUGCAAUUUUAUUUUAUUUUGCUUUCUAAGACAAGGUUUCACUAUGCAGUUGAGGCUGGCCUCGAAUUCACUUUGUAGCCCAGGCUGGACUCAAACUUGCAGUGGUCUUCCUGCCUCAG